GCGGGGGUGCCCGAGCGGCCAAAGGGGCACGGUUCAGGGCCGUGUGGCUUAGCGCCUUCAUGGGUUCGAAUCCCAUCCCCCGCA
rnacentral:tRNA from 1 species